rnacentral:rRNA from 1 species
GAUGAACGCUGGCGGCGUGCCUAACACAUGCAAGUCGAACGAAGCACCUUACCUGAUUCUUCGGAUGAAAGUUUGGUGACUGAGUGGCGGACGGGUGAGUAACGCGUGGGUAACCUGCCCUGUACAGGGGGAUAACAGCUGGAAACGGCUGCUAAUACCGCAUAAGCGCACGAGGAGACAUCUCCUUGUGUGAAAAACUCCGGUGGUACAGGAUGGGCCCGCGUCUGAUUAGCUGGUUGGCAGGGUAACGGCCUACCAAGGCAACGAUCAGUAGCCGGUCUGAGAGGAUGAGCGGCCACAUUGGAACUGAGACACGGUCCAAACUCCUACGGGAGGCAGCAGUGGGGAAUAUUGCACAAUGGGGGAAACCCUGAUGCAGCAACGCCGCGUGAGUGAAGAAGUAUUUCGGUAUGUAAAGCUCUAUCAGCAGGGAAGAUAAUGACGGUACCUGACUAAGAAGCACCGGCUAAAUACGUG